rnacentral:rRNA from 1 species
AAACCGUUCAGGGGUAAACCUGAGAAACCCAAAAGAUCGAAUGGGGAGAUUCAGCGUCAGCCGUUAAUGCUUGGCUUGCGUGCGGCUCGCGAUGUCGGACGCGGGGUUUCGGCUCCGCUUCGGCACGCGGUCGCUGCGUCAUGUCCGGCGCGGCAGGCGUGCACUUCUCCCCUAGUAGGACGUCGCGACCCGUUGGGUGUCGAUCCACGGCCCGCGCGUGUCGCCUGCAGCGCCAGAGCGUGUCAAAGCGUUUUGCGCGUUGCAGACCCGCGGUCGCCCGAUCGACUGCCCGGCGGUAGAGAUUCAGUUGCCAAGGUAACGGGCCGCACGUAUUUCGUUGCGUUGCGUACUGGCUCGUCGGCAGAUCGGCCUCGCUCGGCGUUACGGACUUUGCGCCGUUGUCGGGUGCUUGGUCGGUCGUUACGCCGACGAUGUCCUCGUACGGGCCCGCUUUCUUUCCCUCUCGGGGGGAAGAAAUUAAAAUACCGGUCAGCGACGCUACUGCUUUGGGUACUUUCAGGACCCGUCUUGAAACACGGACCAAGGAGUCUAACAUGUGCGCGAGUCAUUGGGACUUGAAACAAAGCCUAAAGGCGCAAUGAAAGUGAAGGUCCGCUUUUGAUGCGCGACCGAGGGAGGAUGGCUCCCGCCACGACGCGGAGCCCGCACUCCCGGGGCGUCUCGCGCUCAUCGCGAGCUGAGGCGCACCCAGAGCGUACACGUUGGGACCCGAAAGAUGGUGAACUAUGCCUGGUCAGGACGAAGUCAGGGGAAACCCUGAUGGAGGUCCGUAGCG